AUUGAACGCUGGCGGCAGGCCUAACACAUGCAAGUCGAACGAGUGGCGGACGGGUGAGUAAUGUCUGGGAAACUGCCCGAUGGAGGGGGAUAACUACUGGAAACGGUAGCUAAUACCGCAUACCAUCGGAUGUGCACAGAUGGGCGUAGAUUGUAGGUGGGGUAAAGGCUAACCUAGGCGAAGAUCCCUAGCUGGUCUGAGAGGAUGACCGGCCACACGGGAACGGAGACACGGUCCAGACGCCUACGGGAGGCAGAAGUGGGGAAUAUUGCACAAUGGGCGCAAGCCUGCUGCAGCCCUGCCGGGUGUAUGAAGAAGGCCUUCGGGUUGUAAAGUAUUUUCAGCGGGGAGGCGUUACCCGCAGAAGAAGCACCGGCUAACUCCGUGCCAGCAGCCGCGGUAAUAC
rnacentral:rRNA from 1 species